CGGAGGGUGCAAGCGUUAUCCGGAUUCACUGGGGUUUAAAGGGUGCGUAGGUGGGUUGGUAAGUCAGUGGUGAAAUCCCCGAGCUUAACUUGGGAACUGCCAUUGAUACUAUCAGUCUUGAAUACCGUGGAGGUCAGCGGAAUAUGUCAUGUAGCGGUGAAAUGCUUAGAUAUGACAUAGAACACCAAUUGCGAAGGCAGCUGGCUACACGAAUAUUGACACUGAGGCACGAAAGCGUGGGGAUCAAACAGGAUUAGAUACCCUGGUGGUCCACGCCCUAAACUAUGGAUACUCGACAUACGCGAUACACUGUGUGUGUCUGAGCGAAAGCAUUAAGUAUCCCACCUGGGAAGUACGGUCGCAAGAUUG
rnacentral:rRNA from 1 species